UAGUGUGUGAUAUUGUUGUGAAGGUUUUUUCUAGUUGCCCCAUCACCCCAAGCAGUACACACGGAAUCCAAUUUGUAGUCUCUUAUCUUUCUCCCCAUUCUUAACGUUUCCCCCUCAUUUUCCAAAUGCCAUUGUAUUAUUCUUUUUUGUUUUGUUUUGAGACUGAAUCUCGCUCUGUCACCCAGGCUGGGGUGCUGUGUUGCAAUCUCAGUUCGCUAUAAUCCUUGCUUCCCGUGUGCAUGCAGUCUUCCUGCUUCAGCCUCCUGAGUACCUGAGAUGAGAGUACCAAGCCUGGCUAUAUUUUUUUGUAGUUUUAGUAGUGACGAGGUUUCACCAAAUUGGCCAUUCUGUUUUCAAACUCUUGACCUUAAAUGAUCUGCCCACCUCAGCCUGCCCUAGAGCUGAGAUUACAGGAAUGAACCGCCAGAGCCCAGCCAAACUUUCUCUUUUUUUUUUCUUUUUGGUUGUUUAUUUCUAAUCUCCUGCAGUUGUUCUUUGAGUUGUCAUAUAGAUUAAUGGGUUUCUCAAAUUACUGGAAAACUAGUUUAAGAAAUAAACAGGCAGAACAGUGGUGCUGAGCAUGGCUAAAGCAUCUCUGUGUUCACAGGGAGAGGCGCUGAAGACCUUCCGGCAUGGGCUGGGCAGCAGUUCAGUUGCAGGAGAAACAGCCCGAGUGUGGAGAGGUGGCCGUCCUCUGCAGGAUGCUUUGUAAAGAACCCAAGAAAUCAACGUAGAGCUUCUUCUAUCUGAUUCUCUCACAGCUGUAAACCUUCCACGAGUUAAGCUUUGUGUCAAAAUGACAAAUUAAAAGGACCUAUAAAAGGCACCCCCCAGCCCAAUGGACAGAUGCCCCAGGCUGCACAUUCUGUCAGUGCUGUUCUCCAAGAGGCCCAGACACAUGCUGAAACAUGGAAGGAAACAAGCCAGCCCUCUGGAACCACCACGAGCCUGGAGCACCCAAGGCCCCACAUGCCCCCAAAUCCAGCCUGCCCCCUCCCCAUCCGGUGCGGUGGUCCUCAGACACCAGUGGCAGCCCUGCCACACCCCCCAAAGCCAAGAGCACCAGCAGCAGGGGCUUCCUCACUCCAUCCAAUGACUUCCUGCCACCGCCCCGACUCCUCCAGGCCACCACCUGGGGUCACCAAGACACCUUGUAUGUCCCCUCAAGAGGCACGAAGCAUCAAUGUUCAGAAGCAGCAAAUGAAUAAAAGUUAAACGUUCUUCCUGAACAUGGUAUUUCUAGAAAGAUUAUUGGGUCACUCUAUCUUGAGGUAACAAUAUCAUUAAAAAUAGCUUUCCCCAUCCCAUGCCUUCUGAAGUCUUGGUGACCUUAGAAAGAUUUUCCAUCUCUAUCUCUGUGACCUUCAGAUUUCCCAGAAAAUUGAGAGGAAAACGAGAAAACAUGACAAGCAGAGGCUGUUCCCUUUCUCUGAGAUCCUUUUGCUUGAUCGAUUGGAGUCCUGGACAUGGGCUGUUUUGGUUUUGUUUUUUUAACGCUUGAAUAGUAAUUGAAAAAAAUUAUUUAGUUUUUGAAUUCUGUAUGAUUACAAUGCUAUAAAUAUCCUUUACAUAAGAAUGUAGGGGCAAGAAAAGGCAAUCUUAUCUAUAUAUUUCAGUCUGGAAUGUUUUCCCUUAGAGAUACAUUUAAUGCCCAAUUUAUCCUUGGAUCUUGCAACUUAUAUCUCUUCUCUUUCAAUUUGGCUUCUGAUGGGCUAAAAUGCUAUUUUCUUAGUUUUCUUUCCAGGGCUCUGUUUUUGUUUUUUGUGGGUUUUUUUUUUUUUUAAGUGUAAAACUCCUCAAAAUCUUAAAGUCAGUGUGUGACUUUAAGAAUCAAAAUGUGACUUUCCAAUCAAAAUGGAGUCACUCAUGUUAAAAAAAACACUGACAGAAAGAACCAGGCAAAAUCUUAAUGUUUUUUUAAAAUUAAGGAAGAUAAUUAAUGGUAUGUUUUAGUAUUUGGGAAGAG
rnacentral:lncRNA from 1 species